rnacentral:misc_RNA from 1 species
AAAAAAAGAGAAAUUUCAAAUCGAGUAGCAGCAACCCCCACCCCCUCACGAUUUUCCUUCCCCUCUCCCUUUCCUUUCUCCGGCUAGUCCUUGUCUUCACCUCCGACGAUGGUCCCGACAAGUUGCAGUGGUCUCCGGGAAACGCAGAAGAACUAGGUGCGACGGCCAUGGCUUCUGGGCGACGAGGAACAAGAAGGAAGAAAGAGGGCGCCGCCGAAGCCUUCUCCACAUGUUUCCGUCUGAUCCUGACAUUGGACGGCCAAAAUCCAACCAACAACAAGCUCCUUGCAUGCCCAGCUUCAAGACCCGACCUUCCUUGUUGGAUUCCAUGUUGUUUUCCGGUGAGGGAGAGGAAAGAGAGAGGUGGGUUAGAUAGCAACUUUCUGACUAAUUUUCCGACAAUUCGGCAAUCAGAUCAGCAAUCCGAGAUUACUGUUGAACUCAGCGCCUCGAGACCUUCAAGAUGGAAUUCACUCCGCUCACACCAUUUAAAAAAUAUGAUCAUCAGAACGAACCGUAUGGCUUGAUGAGAUUUUUGAGUUUUUUUAUUUUUAUAAAUUAAAUAUAAUUACACGAUAAUCAUUAAUAAUUUAUGAAUUUUUUUAAGUAUAAUCGGAUCGGUAAUAUCUCAUAAGACUUGGUAUGGGGUACUUAAUCUUGCUAAGUUGAGUUUGGUGUCAGAAUUUGAAAUGAAAGAGUUGUAUAAGG